rnacentral:lncRNA from 1 species
UGAACGAUUGAUCGGUCGUGUACGUAUGGCGGAUAAGAAGAAGAUCAAGAGCGAAGCUAGCAGCAGCACCAGUACGAUCGAAAAUGUCAAAAGCGAAAGCGUCGUCGUUGACGUUGGUCGCCGGAGAAGCUCCUGCGGUUAAUGCAAAUCCGGUUCCAACACUAGCAUCACUCACGAAAAUCGGAUCAAUAAAGAUCAAAUGAAGAUUGAAGAAACACCUAUUUGGAAGAUUGAAAAAAAUAUGUAUUUGAAUUUUUAUUUAUAAAAUUGUUGAACUAUUUAUAGAAUUGUAUUUUGUU